UAUCUUCUCUCCACUCCCUCACACUCUUCCCCUGCCCUCCACCACGAGCUGCUGCUCCUCCUAGCUCCAUGGCCGGCCAUGGCCAUGGAAAUCCACCAAGAUGAAGCUCCCCUCCUUCCUCAAGCUCAUCCUCACCAUGAGAGCAUCUCUCUCACUCUCUUCUCCCCUAACCUUUGAUGAAUCCAGCUCCUUUUCCCUUCUUCCCUCUCACAAGAUUGGAUCUUGAUGCAGGUGCAUGUUGGUCUAAGCAUGGAGAAGGUUGAGCAAUCCUCAGAUCUGAAACUCUUGAGCAAAGUUCGUCCAAAACCUUGCAGUAAUUUCUGUAUCUUGCUGUUUCAGAUUCUGGUACGAAUUUGUAAAAUCCGCCAAAUCUUGUGUGCAGAUCCAAAGCGAGUGAUUCAAAGUUCUACCGAUAGGUAUUGAAAAUAUCUACAACUUGGCGUUGGUCUCAUCCUCAAAUUCGUUACGGAUUUUGCAUGGUAAAUAAAGUUCUGCAAACAUGCAGAAUCACUGUUUGUUAGAUUUCUUCCGUUUUACAAAACCUUUUUGAGCAAACUCAACUGUGGGUGAAAUCCCUCUCCAGUACCUUCAUUUUGGCAUUGGUUUCACUUAAAAUGACCUCCUGAAAUUGAAAUGGUUCACAGAUCAAAAUAUGGUCAGAUCUGAGUUUGUCGAAUUAAACCAGGAGCUUGGAGACGAAUUUUUGAAUGAAACCAACUGGGGGGUACUUAGCUUGUGCCAUGGUGAUACCGAGAGAGGCAAUUGCUAAGUUGUGAUACUCUCAUACCUUUACUAGAUUGCGAACGAUUCCGGAGAAGAUGAAGAAGUGGAUCAGACAAGGAUUUUAUUUAUGUUGCUGGGAUUCUUUUAUUGAUGGAGUUGAAGAAGUACAGGGACAAAUAAGCCAAGGCAAGCCAUCUUUUGAUCUCUGAUUCGGU